UACAGAGGUCUCAAGCGUUGUUCGGAUUCAUUGGGCGUAAAGGGUGCGUAGGUGGCGCUGUAAGUCAGGUGUGAAAUUUCGGAGCUUAACUCCGAAACUGCAUUUGAUACUGCGGUGCUCGAGGACUGGAGAGGGAGACUGGAAUUUACGGUGUAGCAGUGAAAUGCGUAGAGAUCGUAAGGAAGACCAGUGGCGAAGGCGGCUCUCUGGGACGGUACUGACGCUGAGACGCGAAAAGCGUGGGGGAGCGAACAGG
rnacentral:rRNA from 1 species